UUGUCAGGGUGGGUGAUUCUUGAGCUGAGGUUUGAGCAAUGAGAAGGUGGUGUUCAGGUGGACAAUGAGGAAAUAUGUCUCAGGCAGAGGGUGCAUGUGAGUGAAGGCACAGAGCAGAAACAACCUGGCCUCUGGGAGAGACGCAGGGAGUUUUAUAGGACUGGAGUACAGGGCUAAAGCUGGAGGAAAGAAACUUUCUGGUGUUGGGAUAGCAGAACUUCCCGUCCCCCUAGUCCAGGCAGAGGCUUUCUGGCUUCGGGUACCUGGGGCUGCAGAGUCAUUCACUGUUACCCAAGAAACCACAUUUCCCACACCUGGCCUUCAGAAGAGGUGGGAAGGAGCCAUCACCCUCUCCCCGACCUCACUGCCAGAUCAAUAUUCCACUCCCUUCCAGACCUAUGUCAGCAUCACCGAGAACAACAGCAAUCGUGGUGCCCAAUGGGUGUCCACCGUGUGCGGGGCUCCUGCAAUCUUCACAACAGUGCUGUGGUUAGCAUUGUUUCCCACUUCACAGACACAGAGAGAAAGAGGCAGAGACACAGGCAGAGGGAGAAGCAGGCUCCGUGCAGG